UACGUAGGGUGCAAGCGUUGUCCGGAAUUAUUGGGCGUAAAGAGCUCGUAGGCGGUUUGUUGCGUCGGCUGUGAAAUCCCGAGGCUCAACCUCGGGUCUGCAGUCGAUACGAGCAAACUAGAGUGUUGCAGGGGAGACUGGAAUUCCUGGUGUAGCGGUGAAACGCGCAGAUAUCAGGAGGAACACCGGUGGCGAAGGCGGGUCUCUGGGCAACAACUGACGCUGAGGAGCGAAAGCGUGGGGAGCGAACAGG
rnacentral:rRNA from 1 species